UCAAAAGCCUGUGCCAGAAGCUUCUGGGAUUCUGGGGAUUUGUCACUUCCCUCCUCUAGCAUUUCUGUGGACCUCCUUGCCACAAAAAGGCUCAAGAAGGAGAAAGCUCCCUUAGGACCCGCUGGGAGGUAGAAAGGAAAAGUAGAAGUUCCUUUAGCCCACGUCCCUUACCACUCAGGUAAUUAAGACAUUAAGGAUACAAGUAACUCUUCAGUCUGUUUGUCUUUUUUGAGCUUAGUCUCCCCUCCCCCAAGAACUUAAACUGGAAGUCAGGGUCUGUCUGUUCACAGAUUAAAGCCAGCCCAAUAUCUGUCUCACAGCUGCGCAUUGGGGGAGGCCUAAAACUAAGUGGUAAGAAAAGGCCGCCUCACCUGGCCAUUUCCUGGCUUGGCCAUGGUCUUCCGUGGCCCUGUGCACCUUGGGCUGCCCCUCCGAACUGACGGUGGUGGCUGGAGUGGGUUCCGGCCCCAGGCUGCCAGUCCCUGGGCCCCCGGGCAUAUUGAGCAGCCGCAUGGCCAAGCUCUCUGACUGACGUGAGGCGACUUCCCGGCCCCUGUCAUGGACAUCUUGGCCCGGCUGGCACAAGCGCCCCCCUUACCCUCAUCGCCCACGGUGACAGUGACAGAGGCCGGAGAGAGGAGGGGCCAGCAGGCUCCAUGGAGUCGGGGUUGGCCUUGGGCAGGGUCUCUUCACUGUGAGGUGUCCCCCAAAGAGCCAUGAACUGCAGGGGAAGAGAGCAAGUUCAGGGCCGAGGACUCUGGGAUCCCAGGUCCGGGAGGUGAAGGUCCGGCUGGGCCGUUUCCACCGCACUCACCUCCUCGGGGGCUCCUCUGGGCUCCUUCUCCAGCAGCAGCGCCCCAUCUCAGCGGGGGUGUCCCCUGGAGAGGGGAGACAGGGUACAGGAGGGCUGGUCAGCCCGGCGGGGAGCUGGGGCGCCCAGGACGCCUGGGCCCUGGGAAGAGACAGCAGGCCCGGGGGCCUACCUCUUCCUCGGUGGGGGCCCCCGCCCUCGGCCGCGGCUGCCCGGAGGGGCUGCACGACCCCUCCCCGGGCCCGCAUCAGCCCCCGCCCUCUCGGGAGACCCCGCAUCUCGGGG
rnacentral:lncRNA from 1 species